rnacentral:rRNA from 1 species
AUGGGCAUCCUUGAUUCUUGGCACAAGGAAGACUCCUGUCAGUGGAGAGGCGUGAAGUGCAGCAACCGGACCGACCGUGUCCUUAGGCUUCAUCUUCGUAAUGUGCUCCUUGAUGGGUUUUACGGAGACACGGCUUUGGUUGGCGAGAUAAGUAAUUCUUUGCUCUCCAUGGAUCGUCUAGUGCACCUUGAUCUUAGCAUGAAUUGCCUCGAGGGCCCAAGCGGCCACAUUCCGGAGUUCUUGGCCUCUUUGACGGGAUUGAGAUAUCUCAACCUCUCCGGCAUACCAUUUUUUGGCAGAGUGCCCCCUCAUCUCGGAAACCUCUCAAACUUGCGGCAUCUUGACCUCUCAUGCCAAUUUCAAAGUAUGUACUCAAGAGACAUUUCAUGGAUAGCGCGCAUACCUAAUUUGCAGUAUCUUAGACUGAAUUCGGUAAACCUCAGCACAAUAGCUGAUUGGCCUUAUGUUGUCAACAUGAUUCCUUCUUUGAAGGCCCUCGAUCUUGGGUUUUGCUAUCUUCCGACCGCAAAUCAUUCACUCCCACAUAUUAACCUCACCAAACUCGAGAGGCUUGAUCUCUCCGGCAACACCUUUGCCCACCUAAUGGCAAGGGGAUGGUUUUGGAAUUUGACAAGCCUCCAAGAUCUCUACCUUUCUGAAACUCAACUGUACGGUCAACCUCCUGAUGCACUGGCACAUAUGACGUCCCUCCGAGUCCUUGAUUUUUCAUCUAAUCAUAACAUGGGGACGAUGACUACAAGCUUCAGAAAACUAUGCAAUUUGAGAAUUCUGGACCUUUCCUUUUGUCAAAUUGUUGGAAAUAUAAAGGAUAUUGUUGGGAGGAUGCCCCAGUGUCCCUUGAACAAACUGCACGAGCUGUAUUUGGGCUCCAACAAUAUUACCAGAAUCAUGCCGGAUCAGAUACCACACUUGACCAGCUUAGUCAUUCUUGACAUCGCUCGGAACAACCUAAUUGGAGGCAUACCACGAGGGGUGGGGCUGCUCUCUAGAUUAAGAAGACUUGAUCUCUCUUCCAACAAUCUCAGUGGAUCUGUGCCAUCUGAGAUCGGUAUGCUCAGCAAUUUGACCAUGAUGGAUCUCACACUCAACAACUUGAACGGUGACUUCACUGAAGAACAUUUAACAAGUCUAACGAGGUUGAGAAGGUUGCAUUUAAGAUGGAAUUAUUUGAGGAUUACAGUUGGUCCCGAUUGGAUACCACCCUUCAGUUUAGAAGAAAUAACUCUUGGCUCUUGCCAACUGGGCCCUUUGUUUCCUGCAUGGCUUCAAUUCCAAGUGGACAUUCGAUUGAUGGAUAUAUCAUCCACAGGUAUAGUUGAUAGGAUUCCUCACUGGUUCAGCACUACAUUUGCAAAGGUCACAGAUCUGGACAUCUCCAACAAUGAAAUCAGCGGCAGGUUGCCAAUAAACAUGGAAUUCAUGUCACUGCAAUAUUUCUCAAUCAAUUCAAAUAACCUAACUGGUGAACUCCCUAACUUACCAACAAAUAUUACCUCCCUGGACAUGUCUAGAAACUCUUUAUCUGGAACUUUGCCAUCAAACAUUGGGACUCCACAUUUGAUUUCAUUAGCUCUGGUUUCCAAUCAAAUAACCGGUUCUAUUCCCGAAUCUCUCUGCAAAGCGGAAUUCUUGGAAUCAUUGGACUUAAGGAACAAUCUUCUCGAGGGACAACUUCCUUGGUGUUUUGGGGUGAAGGACAUUUCCUUUCUCAUGUUGAGUAACAAUAGUUUCUCUGGCAACUUCCCACCGUUUGUAAAAGACUGUAGACGAUUGGAGGCUCUAGAUCUAUCACGUAAUAGUUUUUCUGGAAGGUUGCCAUUGUGGAUUGGAGAUUUGGUUGAAUUACGAUUUUUGCGUCUAAAUCAGAAUAUGUUUUCCGGAGAAAUCCCAGCUACCAUCUCAAAUCUUAGUCACCUUCACCACCUGAACCUAGCAGGCAAUGGCUUAUCAGGUCCCAUAACGUGGCAUCUGUCAAAUGUGACGGGCAUGACAGGAAAAUAUGUAAAGGAUUAUAUGUUCGACUCAAUACCUUAUGGCAGUUACUCGCAUAAGUUGCGUACAUAUAGUUUUUCCUCUGUGGUCGUCAAGGGACGUGAACUUGAUUAUGAUAUUCACAUUAUGGAUUUGGUGAGCAUUGAUUUAUCUUUCAACCAAUUAACUGGGAGAAUACCAGAAGAAAUAGUAGCUCUUGAUGCGUUGAUAAUCUUGAAUCUAUCGUGGAACCAAUUGAGUGGGAAAAUACCAAAUAAGCUUGGGGCCUUGCAUGCUCUGGAAUCACUUGACCUCUCAAGGAACAUGCUUUCUGGCAGAAUCCCUCCGAGCCUGUCAGAUAUAACCUAUUUGAGCUACUUGAACUUGUCUGAUAACAAUCUAACAGGGAGAAUACCAUCAGGACAUCAGCUCGACACCCUCUACACACAGCAACCUUCCAUGUACAGUGGCAACAGUGGUCUAUGUGGGCCUCCUCUUCCGAACAGUUGCCCCGGAAAGAAUGUUACAAGGCAAGAUGAUCAAAAAAGGAAUGAACAUUCCUUUGAACCAAUGACCUUUUAUUUUGGACUCGCUCUGGGAUUUGUUUUGGGUCUCUGGGUGGUGUUUUGUGUCUUGUUGUUUAAGAGAGAAUGGAGGACUGCUUAUUUCUGCAUGGUUGACAAGACAUAUGAUCAGAUGUAUGUGUUUGCCGUUCUUACAUGGAAAAGCUGGACAAGAAAGAGGACUACAAAUUGA